rnacentral:rRNA from 1 species
AUUGAACGCUGGCGGCAGGCUUAACAAAUUCAAGUCGCACGAGUGGCGGAAGGGUGAGUAAUGCUUGGGAAUCUAGCUUAUGGAGGGGGAUAACUACGGGAAACUGUAGCUAAUACCGCGUACCAUAGGAUGAGCCCAAGUGGGAUUAGGUAGGUGGUGAGGUAAAGUCUCACCAAGCAGACGAUCCCUAGCUGGUCUGAGAGGAUGACCAGCCACACUGGGACUGAGACACGGCCCAGACUCCUACGGGAGGCAGCAGUGGGGAAUAUUGCGCAAUGGGGGCAACCUGACGCAGCCAUGCCGCGUGAAUGAAGAAGGCCUUCGGGUUGUAAAGUUCUUUCGGUAGCGAGGCGUUAACUACAGAAGAAGCACCGGCUAACUCCGUGCCAGCAGCCGCGGUAAUUC